UCCCAGGUGGCUCAGUGGGUAAGGCGCUGGUCUCGAGUGCAGGCGGAGCCACACGCCCCGGGUUCGACCCCGGCUGCGUUG